rnacentral:lncRNA from 1 species
UAGAAAACAAUUUCGGCUCAUAUGCUCUCCAAUGAAGCCUUCGUUGUAGAACCUUCUAGCUCAUCUUCUUCCAUCCUUUCAAUCGAGAAAUUUUUCGAUCUUCAUCAUGGUAUUAGAGCACUAGAGCUAGAUGCGCACUCGAUGUGGUUGAUCUCUUCUGUUUUUGCAGAGCUAUUUUGUUGAUUGUUCGAGCUUUUCCUCAAUCGAUUAACCAAGUUUUAUGUUUUGAUUUGCAAUUAACGAAUCUGUAAUUUGUUGAAUCAAAGUAUUAAUUUAACUGAAUUUUUCAGCUAUGACGAUUUGAGAAGAAACUUCAACAGGAACGAGCAAAUAAGCGAACAUAGCUCAUCAUCAUCCUUUGUAUCUGCAGCUUUGUGACACUCUAGUUAGUUCCUUGAUUUCUAUUCAAGCAACUAGUAUUGAAAUGAUGCGUUAUGCAGUAGAUCUAUGAAAAUAGGUCUAAUUGGCAAGAUUAAUCUAGGUUUUGUUAAUGGCCGAUGCACUAAUGAUAAAUCUGAUCAAUCCUUGCAUGAGCUUUGGAA